rnacentral:misc_RNA from 1 species
GAAAUGCGAUAAGUAAUGUGAAUUGCAGAAUUCAGUGAAUCAUCGAAUCUUUGAACGCACAUUGCGCCCGCCAGCAUUCUGGCGGGCAUGCCUGUUCGAGCGUCAUUUCAACCCUCGAGCCCCCCCGGGGGCCUCGGUGUUGGGGGACGGCACACCAGCCGCCCCCGAAAUGCAGUGGCGACCCCGCCGCAGCCUCCCCUGCGUAGUAGCACACACCUCGCACCGGAGCGCGGAGGCGGUCACGCCGUAAAACGCCCAACUUUCUUAGAGUUGACCUCGGAUCAGGUAGGAAUACGCGCUGAACAUAAGC